CGCGUCUCCCGCCGUCUCCGCAGCCCCGCAGGCCCCGGGCCCUCUCGUUCCCAGCGCUGCCCUGUCUUGCGUUCCAGUGUUCCAGCUUCUGCGAGAUGACCCUCAAGGCGAGCGAGGGCGAGAGUGGGGGCAGCAUGCACACGGCGCUCUCCGACCUCUACCUGGAGCACUUGCUGCAGAAGCGUAGUCGGCCAGAGGCUGUAUCGCAUCCAUUGAAUACUGUGACCGAGGACAUGUACACCAACGGGUCUCCUGCCCCAGGUAGCCCUGCCCAGGUCAAGGGACAGGAGGUGCGGAAAGUGCGACUCAUACAGUUUGAGAAGGUCACAGAAGAGCCCAUGGGAAUCACUCUGAAGCUGAAUGAAAAACAGUCCUGUACGGUGGCCAGAAUUCUUCAUGGUGGCAUGAUCCAUAGACAAGGUACUCUGUGGGAGCUCUGGGUGGGGUUUGAUUCAGGGAUUAAUAAUUUACUCCCUGUUCAGUGGUGUGGGGCAUGAAGCUUAUAAUCCUCCAAACUGGUAGCAUUUUUGUGAGUGUGCCAAGAGACUUUUUGUGGCU
rnacentral:sRNA from 1 species